UACGUAGGGGGGCAAGCGUUGUCCGGAUUUAUUGGGCGUAAAGCGCGUGUAGGCGGCCAGGUAGGUCUGCUGUGAAAGACUCGAGGCUCAACCUCGAGAUGUCGGCGGAAACCCUCUGGCUAGAGUCCGGAAGAGGAGAGUGGAAUUCCCGGUGUAGCGGUGAAAUGCGUAGAGAUCAUGAGGAAGACCAGUGGCGAAGGCGGGGUCUCUGGACAGUUCCUGACACUGAGGCACGAAGGCCAGGGGAGCAAAACGGG
rnacentral:rRNA from 1 species